ensembl:lncRNA
AGAUUCAGAUGUUGUUGAGUGAUCUGUAAAUGAUUCUGUGUUAGUAGGUCGUGACACUCCAACUGUUUGUAUUGCUGAAGUUUCUGUAGCUUCAGAUGUUAAGAAGUGAUGGCUAGAUGAUUCUGCUGAAGUGGAUGGUAAUGCAGUAAUUGAUUUUGUUAAUGUUUCUGUAGACUCAGUUGUUGAAUGAUCUGUAGAUGAUUUUGGUGAAGUAAGAGGUGAUGCUGUAAUUGGUUGUGUUGAGAAAAUCUCGGGGGAUUCAGAUGUUGAUGAGAGAUCUGGAAAUGAUUCUAUGGAGGUAGAAGGUGAUGUUGUAAAUGAUGGUGUUGGUGAACUUUCUGGAGCUUCAGGUGUUGAAGAGUGAUCUGUGAGCAAUUCUGCAGAAGCAGGUUGUGAUGCUGUAACUGAAUUCGUUGAUGAAAUGUGUUGCAUUUCGGAUGUUGAUGAGUGAUCUGUAGAUGAUACAGGAGAAGAAGGUUGUGAGGCUGUUACUAAGUUUGUUGAUGAAGUUUGUGAAGGGUCAAGUGUUGAUUGUGGUGAAGUAGGUGGUGAUGUAAUUGAAUUGGUUGAUGACUCUGGAGAUUUAGUUGUUAAAUUAUCAGUAGAUUUUUCUGGGGAGGUAGAUGGUGAUGCUCGAAACAAUUGUGAUGAAGUUUCGGGAGAUUCAGAUGAUGCUGAUGGAUCUGUAAAUGAUUCUGUGUUAGUAGAAGGUGAUGU